UACGUAGGGUGCGAGCGUUGUCCGGAAUUAUUGGGCGUAAAGAGCUCGUAGGCGGUCUGUCGCGUCGGUCGUGAAAACUUGGGGCUUAACCCUGAGCUUGCGGUCGAUACGGGCAUGACUGGAGUUCGGCAGGGGAGACUAGAAUUCCUGGUGUAGCGGUGAAAUGCGCAGAUAUCAGGAGGAACACCGGUGGCGAAGGCGGGUCUCUGGGCCGAUAUUGACGCUGAGGUGCGAAAGCGUGGGGAGCAAACAGG
rnacentral:rRNA from 1 species